AAGAAAUUUAAGGAGGUGGAGGUGGAGCAAGUUCAGGUUGCUGCAUACAAUGUCCUCGCACUGUCUAUCCAGAGCCUGCUUUGCAGAAAACUGGGCUAGGAAACGCUAUAAAAGGUCUCUUUUCACAGUGCUCCUCAAUCCACUUGGCUUCUCAAUGCUUCUUGGUCGCUCAGUCCUGUGGGUGAAUUAGGUUUACCUAAAUUGUUGAAAUAUGUCUUACCAACAUCAGCAGCAGUGUAAGCAAACCUGCCUGCCACCACCAGUGUGUCCACCCCAGUGCCCGGACCCGUGCCCCCCAAGGAAAUGCCAAGAGCCGUGCCCUCCACUCAAGUGCCCGGACCCGUGCCCUCCACCCAAGUGCCCAGAGCCGUGCCCUCCACCAAAAUGCCCUCCACCUAAGUGCCCGCCUAUGCAGAAGUACAACUGAAGUGAUAUGAGUAUCCACAGGAGCAUCAACAGCCACGAAAUGUCAAGCAAAUUAGCAAGUUCCUGUUUGUAACUUAUUUCAUAAAUGGUUCUCUCAUGUUCUCCCUGGCUUGGCUUCUGGGGGGUUUCAGAACGCUACUUGUACCCUGAGUAUUUAUUCAGUCAUUAGUAUCCUCUAGGGAUUGGUAUAGCCUGCAAUUGGCUUUGUAUCCCUGAAAUAUUGUUUUUUACAUCCUUCAAAAACAUGCCGUACCAUACACCGGUCCUGAGGAAUAAAUGAUAAUGCUGUACAUUCAUUCGCCUGUUUUCCAUCCCAUCUUUCAUUGUAGACAUGCUGGAAUAAAAAUGAUAAUUUAUUGUA